AAUUAAAGUAAAUUAUAUAAAAGGCACCUUCAACUUAAAAUUGUCCAAAGAACACGCUCUUAAGCUAUGUCCAUCGAGUCACGGG